rnacentral:lncRNA from 1 species
CAUGUAACAAUUUCUUACAAAAGUUUUGUUUAUAUUAAUUUUUAUACUGUUUAUUAAUAUAUUUUUUCCGGCCAUUCCAAAAAUGUAAUUAUUUUUUCUGUAUCAUCGACCGUUACAAAAAUACGGUCUGUUAGAAAAGUAACCGGCCUUAUUUCUUGGGAAAAUCUGACAUACCAUCCAGACAUACCAUCAUCUAGAGCACCUGUCCCACAUGAUGACUGCUUACCAGUACCACAGCCACCAGAAAAUGUAGAUGAUGGAAUGGAUAUUUCAUCUGAAGGGUCAGCAAGUAGCAACAACCAAGAAAUCGAAGAAGUUUUCGUACCAAGAAUGACUUUGGAGCCUCAUUUUCCAAAUCAGAGUGAACUAGAUGAUUUAAUUAGGGACUUAGGUCUUACUAAGUCAGGAGCUGAACUUCUUUCAUCAAGGUUGAAGGAAUGGAAUCUACUAGGACAAGACUGCAGGAUAACUGUGUACCGGAAACGACAUGAAGAAUUUGAAAUUUACUAUGACAUUAGUGAUGAUCUGUGUUAUUGUAAGGAUGUAACUGGUUUGUUUAAAUUUACUGCUCUUGGACUCAAUCAUGAUCCUACACAUUGGCGGCUGUUUAUUGAUAGCUCAACACGAAGUCUCAAAGCAGUAUUACUCCACAAUGGAAACAAAUAUCCAUCUUUGCCUCUUGCACACUCAGUACAAAAGAAAGAAAACUAUGAAAAUGUCAGACAGCUUCUUAAUAAAAUAAAUUAUGAUGAAUUCAAAUGGAAUGUUUGUGGGGAUUUCAAGAUGCUCGCAUUUUUGCUUGGUUUGCAAGGGGGAUACACAAAGUAUUCAUGUUUCCUUUGCUUAUGGGACAGCAGAGCUGAUGAUGAUCAUUAUAAGAAAGUUCAUUGGCCCCCACGAAUGGAACUACAGCCGGGAAUGUUAAAUGUUCACAGAGAGCCCCUAGUAGAUUCCAACAAAGUUUUAUUGCCCCCACAUUAAACUAGGAUUGAUUAAACAGUUUGUGAAAGCCUUGGAUUUUGGAGGAGAAGCUUUUCAGGAAAUUCGCCUUAUGUUUCCAAAACUAUCUGAGGCUAAGAUAAAGGGUGGUAUAUUCGUUGGACCCCAGGUAAACACAAUGUUGAAGUCGGAGAAACUGGAAAGAGCGAUGACAAAAAUUGAAAAAGAAGCCUGGUGUGCAUUUCGUGAUGUAGUCCAUGGAUUCCUAGGAAAUAACAAAGAUCCUAAUUACAAACAACUGGUAGCAAAACUUAUUGAGAACUUCAGGAAGCUUGGUUGUCGUAUGUCCUUGAAAAUUCAUUUUUUUGCAUUCUCACCUUGAUUUCUUCCCAGAAAAUUUGGGUGAUGUCAGUGAAGAGCAGGGUGAAAGAUUUCACCAGGACAUAGCAACUAUGGAAAGAAGAUAUCAAGGACGAUGGAAUACUGCUAUGAUGGGAGAUUAUAUAUGGUCUCUAAUGAGAGAAGAUGAAAAUAUGCACGCUAGAAAAUCUCGAUCGUCCAAGCACUUCUGAUCAUAAAAGAGGAGUUAUCAAAGUAUUUACAAUGCAGAGCUGUAUAAUGUCUUUUGUUCUAAUAUUGUACUGCCUAUAUAAUUUUCAAUAUA